AUCCUGUUAAGUCAGGCAACGAGCGAGACCCACGCCCACAGUUGCCAGCGUACUCUCUGGAGUGACGGGUACACUGUGGGGACCGCCGCUGCUAAAGCGGAGGAAGGAAUGGGCAACGGUAGGUCAGUAUGCCCCGAAUAUCCCGGGCUACACGCGAGCUACAAUGGUUGGUACAAUGGGUAUCUACCCCGAAAGGGGACGGGAAUCUCCUAAAACCAAUCUUAGUUCGGAUUGGGGGCUGCAACUCGCCCUCAUGAAGCUGGAAUCCGUAGUAAUCGCGUUUCAACAGAACGCGGUGAAUACGUCCCUGCUCCUU
rnacentral:rRNA from 1 species